UGGGGAAUUUUGGACAAUGGGCGCAAGCCUGAUCCAGCCAUGCCGCGUGCGGGAAGAAGGCCUUCGGGUUGUAAACCGCUUUUAGCCGGGAAGAAAAGGUCACGGACAACACCCGUGAUUCUUGACGGUACCGGCGGAAUAAGCACCGGCUAACUACGUGCCAGCAGCCGCGGUAAUACGUAGGGUGCGAGCGUUAAUCGGAAUUACUUGGCGUAAAGCGUGCGCAGGCGGUUCGUUAAGUUCGUUGUGAAAGCCCCGGGCUCAACCUGGGAACGGCAAUGGAAACUGGCGGACUCGAGUGUGGCAGAGGGGGGCGGAAUUCCACGUGUAGCAGUGAAAUGCGUAGAGAUGUGGAGGAACACCGAUGGCGAAGGCAACCCCCUGGGCUAACACUGACGCUCAGGCACGAAAGCGUGGGGAGCAAAC
rnacentral:rRNA from 1 species